AGUUGACGUUGAAGUGUUUGACGAACGUUUGGAGAACAUGUUGGAAUCGUCAGCACGAGCACCCCAGACCAUCAACUGACCUUUAAUAAUAAUAAUAGAUCCGUUUUUUAUAGCGCUUUUCUAAAUAAAGAGGUCCAUGCAGACAGACAAAAGACAGGAACAAGCACAGAAAACCCGGAUAAGAGGAAGAGGUCUGAACUGUAGGAGGACUCUGGUAAGUUUAAGAAUGUAAUGCUAUAGUAACAGUACCUGGUUCUAGCUACCAAUUUUUUUUGGGUUACAUUACUUUCUUUCAGAGGCUUUGGCGUGCUACAUUUGAGCUAACGUUUAGCUUAUGCUUUCAUAUUGUAGCGGCGGCUAAGAAGUACACAGUCAGGCUUAAGUCAACUGUAGCUCUGAGUCCCAUACACCGCACGACUGCAGGCUACUUUUAUUCAACACCAACAACGUAUAAGGAAACAGCACACCCAACGAACAAACAUGUCAUAGUCAGUGACGGUGGCGGCAACGAUAAACACACAUGUUAACAUUAAGCAACACACAACUACGCACAACCAAAUAACACCCCGAACCCAUUAACCCCACUUAACCUAAACGACAAAACAAGGACGUCAAAAGCCCCUUUUGUCAACUGACAACACUAAUUCCCAGGAUCCCCUGAGUGACCCUGGAGGAGUCGCCACAAUAUGAAACUAGACCAGCCAAAAGAAUACUCAACCAUCCCCUGAGGCCAUGGAGAAGCUGGGCUCGGAUCGUUUAGUCUGUUUUCUUAAAUGUUGAUGUUCAAGUAUACGUUCUGAAGUUUUUAAAAUUAAAGAAAUAUAUUUCUUUCAAGAAAACUAUAUAAAAAUGUGUUUUUGUGCUUCACUGGCAUAACGUUGAAUUUACAGUCUAUUUAUUUUUCAUUUGACCUUUUAUCAACAUUGAUAACAUAUAGUAUUCAUUAACUGUUAAUAAGUGUAUAUUAAAGGACUUAUUAACCAGAAUAAGCAUUGUUCCCGCUUUAGAUCCCGUUCCUGCAAAAUGCAUAAGUAGCCUACCAGUUUAAUAAAGGACUUAUUAACCCCUAAUAAGAAUGGUUCCCGCUUUAGAUCCUGUACCUGCAAAACGCAUAAUUGGCAGUUUAAUAAAGGACUUAUUAACCUUAAUAAGCAUAAACAAUGCUUAGUAAAGGUUUAACAAUGACAUAAUAGGUAAGUUAGUAAGACUCAAUAAAUGGGUUUGUAACGUGUUUAUUAACAACUAUAAGAAACUCAUAAGACCAUUGUUAAUGUUAUUAAGCAAUCAAUAAAUAAUUAACAAGUUUCUUAUAAGGGCUUGUAAAAGUCUUAUCUCACAAUAAAGAUGUUUAUUAUGUUAUUAUUAACACUUAUUGACACUUAUUUACACAAAUUAAGGUUAAUAAGCAUAUAAUAAGGUCUUAUUAUCAAAACAGUCAAAACAACGGUAAAAAACCUGGGUGUGCAGUGAACUCUCUUUUAACUCCCACAUCAAAGCCAUCACAAAAUCCUCCUACUAACACCUAAAACACAUCUCGAAAUAUAAGAAUUUCAUGUCGCAAGAUGACCUCGAAAAACUUAUCCAUGCCUUUGUUUCCAGUAGGUUGGACUAUUGUAAUGGUCUCCUUACAGGCCUGCCCAAGAAAACUAUCAGACAGCUCCAGCUGAUCCAAAAUGCGGCAGCCAGAAUCCUGAUGAGGGCUAAAAGGACAGACCACAUUACACCACUGCUUAAACACCUCCACUGGCUACCAGUUCAGUUCAGAAUUGAUUUUAAGAUUUUAUUAUUGGUUUUUAAGUCUCUAAAUGGAACUGGCCCUGUCUACCUCAAAGACCUAUUGCAGCACUACACCCCUACCAGGUCUCUCAGAUCCCAAGAAAGGGUCCUCCUGAUCCCACCCAUUACCAGAACAAAACAGGGAGAAGCUGCUUUUAGCUCAUAUGCUGUUAAAGUUUGGAACUGCUUACCUGAGUACACAAAAACUGCUCCAACAACAAGCUGUUUUAAAAGCAGGCUAAAGACACACCUCUUCUCCCUCGCCUAUGCCUAGGUCUUUCCAUCCCAACAUUCCUUUAGAGCUCUCCCCUCACUCAUCUAUGCAAACACUUUUUCUGCUUUUAGGGAUUUUAUGUUUUCAUGGUUUUUAUGGUCUUAUUAUUAAACAUUUUUGUUUCGCCUCAGCUUUUAUUGAAAUAUACAUCUAAAACUCUAACUUUGUACUAUUUUCUUUUUUUUUAAUGUACACUUUUAGAGUAUAAAUGCGCUUUCCUAUUUUAUUCAUUUUUCAUUUUUGCAUGUGAAGCACUUUGAAUUGCCCUGGUACGAAAAUGUGCUAUAUAAAAAAUUGUGCCUUGCCUUGCCUUAUUAUAUAUUAACUAAGGCUUAUUACAAGGACCUUAAUAUUAAGCGUUACCAAAAAGUUUAUAAUGAACUAUAUGACUGUCAACGUAGUAAUCUAUGUAUCACUGUUGGCGACUCUUCAGUAGUUUGCUACCAAUAUAAAUUUGUUGGACUGAAAAUAGAUCAUUUUAAGAAAUAAAGGGACCGUUGUUUUUUCCCCUGA